AUCAACAAGGGCCUCCUCACCUCAGACCAGAGGUGCAAGGCCAGCAGAGCCAGCACAUCCUUGCUGUGUUCCUGCCCAAGCUCAUCCCCCAGCUGGUAAAACUCCAAGGCAAAGACACAGUGCUCAAAAUGAGUGAGGAGCAGGUGACAUAUAUGGAAGUGAAAUUUUCUAAACCAAGGAAACAGAAGGACAAAAGACCUCCAGUCCACGAAACGAGAGAAUUUUCACGGCAUAACAUUGCAGCAAGUCUGGGAAUUCUGUGUUUUAUUCUCCUGUUAACAACCGCAGGCUUAG